UCCUGGUGGCUCAGACUGUAAAGCGUCUGCCUACGACGCGGGAGACCCAGGUUCGAUCCCUGGGUCAGGAA
rnacentral:tRNA from 1 species